rnacentral:lncRNA from 1 species
ACACGGCAAAGGAAAGAACCAAAACAUUUAAAGGUACAUAUCUAUCUUUCUAGAUUUCUUUGUUUGGUUUCUCUCAGUUCUUCAGGAAAAGAAAAUGAAGCAGUUGGCUUCGCUCUCCUCUCCCAAGUCAUGGCAUCCAUCACGGCGAUUUCGAACUAGAGAAUAAAGCCGUAGGCCUCUGCCACCUUCCUUUCUCCAUCAGUGAAGACACUUGUAGCACCGUCAUGGACGUCAAACGAAAGCCCAAAAGGAUGUUGCAGCCAUGUCGUGACCUCUCUACCCAUCAAGUUCGUCUAUGCCUAGAAAAAAAAGGAGUAGUCCGUGCCGUUGUAGUUAAUCCCAUGAAUUUUUUCGGGGUGGUCUAAACCACCCCGUGAAGUUCCAAUCAAAUUCAGGACGCUGCAAUGGCUCUAACACCACCGUCGCUGUGUCUUGGCUGUCAUCAACAACCCGCAAAGCCUGUGUCAAAAACAAACAGCCGUGGUCACAUCUUCAAAGACAAGCCCGCCUCCCGCGCAUUCUAGAAUUGAUGGUGUUAUGCACAACGUUCCAGCUGAGAAAGAGAGCCAUAAGAACUUUCAAGGAAUAAAAAACGCUUACCGCCGUCGUUGUCUUGAAGUAAAAAAAAAAAUGCCUUAGAAGGAAAAGACGUGCUGCCCACAUAGAGUACCAAAAAUGGUGCGAGCUGCUGUCUAAGUUGCCAGGAAAAAGAAACCGAAGUAGCUGCCGAAGUCGAAAUGGAUGCUGCUUCAAAGUUAAGGACGUGCCACUGCAGUUAUUCCCAUGAAUUUCUUCGGGGUAGUCUAAACCACCCUGUGAAGUUCCAAUCAAAUCUAAGUGAUCCGCCACCGCCGCACCAACACCUCUGAAGCACUACAACUUUUCUAAGCUGCUCAAACGUGCCAAGAAAAAUAUGGCAUCAAGGCUGACGAUGGUAGCAGCACCAUUGUGAUCAAGCCCCUAGAGUUGCAGAGCCUUGAAGUCAGCCACAGGAUCCUAUUUGGAAAAGAAGUCACACCAAAAAAAAAAGAGAAGGAUGCUUCCAGCCAAAAAAACAACAAAGAAACCCGUCACAGCUGUCGAGUGAAGAAGAAAAAAAAAGGUUGCUGACAAUGAGAGGAAAGGGUAGCAAAGUUCCAUUCGAACUUGGAAAGUUUAAUUCACAAAAAAAAAAAAAAAGGGAGAAUAAGGCUUGCUAUCGACUUCCUUUGAGAAGACAUUCUCGUGAAAGACAAAAGGGGAAGGCCAUGGGAUCCUAACCUUUCUCAAAAUUUAUUGGGCAAGGCAUUACAAAAGAAGGAAAUGUUGUUGCCUUUUCAACCUUCGAAAAAUGUUCCAGGAAAAAGAAGAUAGUUUUAUUCAUCAUGUAAAGUGUUGCAGCAAGCUUCUAGGUGGAAAAGUCAAAAGAAAAUGAUGUUUUCCUACGAUUAGAAAAGUCCCAACAAAGGUACACUUACAAUAAGGAGGCUAUUGGCUCUACAAAGAAACAAGACAAAAAUAUGGGCAAGUGUGCUGGGGGGAAAUCAAAGCUUCCUGAUCCUUUCACGUGAUGAAGAGCAAAACAAUUUGGGAAGCCAUGCAGGUGGUUCUAUAGAAAAAGGGACAAGUUUGCUACAGAACAAAAAUUUGCCAAAGAAUUUGAACCCCACCAAAGGAAAGUUGUGGCAAAGAGAAGAAAAAUAAAAAAAAGGGGUGGCUUUAUCCUUUGUGGAGUCCUACCUGGAUUUAGAAAGUUCAAUUCCCAAGAAAUAAAAAAGGCUUGAUUACCAAACUAAAUAGGAGAGCCACGGCUUCCUAUAUAAGUUCAUUUGGGUUUGGCAAAAUUUAAACCCUAUGAGUUGGAAUUGCCCAGUAGUAGAGGACAAGAAGACCAACGAUGUGACUGAGGCAAAUCGGUUUCAAAUUGGUUUAAAACAAAAAGUGUUGAGACAAUGGUGAUGGCAUCAACCUCAGGGACGCACAUUACUUCACAUGUCUUGGACGCAAACCAUCUCAAAGCACAAAGCCGUGAUGAGUCUCAAAAUUUACGAACUACGCCGGUUUGAUUCCG